UACGUAGGCAGCGAGCGUUGUUCGGAGUUACUGGGCGUAAAGGGUGUGUAGGCGGCCUUCUAAGUUUGGUGUGAAAUCUCCCGGCUCAACCGGGAGGGUGCGCCGAAAACUGGAAGGCUAGAGUGCGGGAUGGGAGAGUGGAAUUCCUGGUGUAGCGGUGAAAUGCGCAGAUAUCAGGAAGAACACCAAUGGCGAAAGCAGCUCUCUGGGACGGUACUGACGCUGAGACGCGAAAGCGUGGGGAGCGAACAGG
rnacentral:rRNA from 1 species